rnacentral:lncRNA from 1 species
GAAAGGAAAUGGAUAUCGCUGCUGGAGGCAACGACUAAUUUAAGCAGAGUAGGAGAAAAACUCUUUUUUUUUUUCCUUUGUGCCAGUUCCUUUUACACGACUUCAGAACAUUCUAUGACAACCCAGCGUGCAACUUGGCACUGUCAGAAGAGUCCUGGGAAAGAAAGGAAAUGCGUUUUUCAGAACUUUACUAGGGGUAGUUGAUCCAAAUGGCAUUAUUGGAUGUGGUGGUUUCCGGACACCCACCUGUGACACUGCGGUGACCGGUCUCCUGUCUGGCCUGAAGUGGAUCUGGACCCCACACAGUCCCCAUGUACAGCUGAUACCAGGCUGAAGUGGAUCAGGAGGCUGAGGAACUAAGCCAGUGUCAGGUGGUGCACCAGGCUGCCCAAGUGGAGGCUUAGAUGAACACAGGAUGAUUAUGGAGCAAUACUUGAAGCCCAAAUGAAGCUCUGAACCCGGAGACUUCUCAAAACCUGUCAUCAAUGCUCUAACUCUUCUGUGGCCACCUCCUUCUACUGGAGUUUAGCCAGAAAAUGAGAAAACCAAUAUUGGACUGUACUGGACAGGACAUAUGUACUAUAUCAGAUUCUCCCUGGCCACAUGCAUAGAGUCUCUGUCUUUUCCCACCACUUUAAAGACAUUGAUAAAAUGCCAUACCACAGGGCAUGAGAUCUGGCAUCCCAAGUUGCCACCAGCAAACCUAGAAGUGUGGGUUCCAACUCUAUGGGUAUAUCUCAGUCAUUUAGCAUCUGCUCUAUCUUUGAGGCUGAGUUUCCAGAAGACCUGAUUCAACCAGAAGCAAAAGACAGUAGCCAAGAAGAUGGCAUAGCAUAAGAAUCUUGGAAAUUGAUAAAAACAUCCCAGAGAUAUCCAACAAAAUUAGUAACUAUGUGAAGAGAUUCUGUAAUAUUGGGUCUAUUGGGCUCUGUGGGAAGGUAUUCCCUUUGGAAAUGACUGAAAUGGAAAUUUUGAACCACUUUCAAUGAUACAAGUUUGGGGUUAACAUGGAGAUGGUGCUUCACAGAAGACACCACAUUUCAAUAAUUGUAUUCUUAUCGAAUUGUUUAAAAUUGGUCAGUGACUAAUAUUAAGCCUCUAAGAACAAAAUUCAUUAGGUUUAUUUAGCCUGUUUUUGCAUUACUGCUACAAAAUCCAAUAGUUUAAAUAGCUAACUGAAUACUUUUGAUGUUAAAGAGCAAAAUUUCAUGAAGAUUUUAGAUCAAGAGAGCUACCACUGAGAAAAAACAAUGCAGAUUUGUGGUAAAGUCCCAUGAAUUUGUUGAACUGCCAAGGCUUCUGAUCAUCACUGCUGAAGAACUUCUAAUGGUGACUUCCAUCUCAGCUUUCUCAUUGCCAACUAUUAAGAAUGUAUGGAUUAUCCAGAUGUUGCAACACAGUUGUGUUUUUGGCUUCACCACUCCCUCUGGGCUGUGAUUCUGUUUUUUUUUUCUUUUAUUGUUGAUGUUCUUUGUUUUUAAUAUGAGAAAGAUUUGUGUAUUAUACUUCAGUUUUAGUUUCCUUAAUCACAGACUAGACAAAAGAAAAUUGGCUUGGUUUCCUAUUAGGAAACCACUUAGAAGCCAUUAUCAGAAUCGUAGACCAUCACUGUGAACUAUAUCCAGGUGUUGUCAUGAAAGUAUGACAUCCUAGAGUGGAAAAGCAACCUGGGUUUCCGAGACUGUUUUACUCUUUUAUCUGGAAUGUUGUUUUAGCUGCUAUGGCUCCAACAGGGUGAACAUAGCAUUUUAUUUAAUCUAAAUAUCUUUCUGCUUUUUUUUUCUAAGUUGCAAAAAGUCAAUGACCACAUUUCAUCUCUAGCCUCUCGUGAGGUUUAAAUUACACAAGGAAGAAAUAUUUACAAUGUCAAAUGCUGAAGAUUGUUUGGAGUCAGAAGUGAUUGUUCAGAAUCUGUCUUAAUGACAAGUCAGAAAUUAGACAAAGAGAUGAAAUGCUAAGCCCCCAAUGUGUUCUGAAAAGUUAAAUAACCAUCUUACAUCAGUUGGUACGUUUUUGUAAGAGUCCAGGAUGUAAAAGUGAUAAAUAAAUUAAUGAAAAGCACUUUUAAAAAUCAACAAAAGACAUGGCAGGAAAUGGAAGAAAAGAGAAGCAAGGGAUGCAUUCUAAUAGAUAUUAAGAACAAGCCAAAGUGCAGUAUUUGCUCUAGGGUUUUACUGUUCAUUGUGUCAAGACUCACAGAUUUUAGAUAUUUUUUUUAAUUGGGAAAGUAAAUGAGGCAGGUAGAUAAGUAGAAAAAGUUGUGUGAAACUCAUCAGUACUGAAAAUAAAUAGUUGUACUUCUCUGUGGUUGUAGUUAAACUUAUUCAAAGCUCAGUGUCCUAGUGGAAGAGUGGAAAUGAACCUCACAUAGUUGUUCAACUGUCCUAUGAGUAGGCAAAAAUUUCCACACAUCAUGUUUAUUGAUCAUGAUUUUUCUUUUCUUGGACUGUUAUUUUAAGAUCAGUACACACUUUACCUCAUACCUCUACAAGAAAGUGUAGGAUCUCAUGGUCCUGUGUAUGUGCUCUAUAAAGUACAUGAUGAAGGAACCUUGUCUGUCUUUUGCUACACAGCCCAACAUAGAAUAGAACCUGACACAAUGGAGUCACAAAAAGCAUGUGUCAAAUGAAUGAAUAAAGAAUCAGCACGCACCAUUGUGGAAGACAGUGUGGCGAUUCCUCAGGGAUCUAGAACUAGAAAUACCAUUUGACCCAGCCAUCCCAUUACUGGGUAUAUACCCAAAGGAUUAUAAAUCAUGCUGCUAUAAAGACACAUGCACAUGUAUGUUUAUUGCGGCACUAUUCACAAUAGCAAAGACUUGGAACCAACCCAAAUGUCCAACAAUGAUAGACUGGAUUAAGAAAAUGUGGCACAUAUACACCAUAGAAUACUAUGUAGCCAUAAAAAAUGAUGAGUUCAUGUCCUUUGUAGGGACAUGGAUGAAGCUGGAAACCAUCAUUCUCAGCAAACUAUCGCAAGGACAAAAAACCAAACACCGCAUGUUCUCACUCAUAGGUGGGAAUUGAACAAUAAGAACACUUGGACACAGGAAGGGGAACAUCACACACCAGGGCCUGUUGUGGGGUGGGGAAUGGGGGAGGGAUAGUAUUAGGAGAUAUACCUUAUGUAAAUGACGAGUUAAUGGGUGCAGCACACCAACAUGGCCCAUGUAUACCUAUGUAACAAACCUGCACGUUGUGCACAUGUACCCUAGAACU